GGGGGGGGGUGGCGGGGUGCGUGGGGCGUGGGGGUCGAGCGCACGGGCGAGGGGCUUGCUCCUCUGACGUUAGCGGCGGACGGGUGAGGAACACGUGGAUAACCUACCUAUGAGACUGGGAUAACUGCGGGAAACCGGAGCUAAUCCCGGCUAAUAUCUUGAACCGCAUGGUUCAAUAGUGAAAGACGGUUUUGCUGUCACUUAUCGAUUGCUCCCGGCCGCAUUAGCUAGUUGGUAACGUAACGGCUUACCCAGGCAACGAUGGGUUGCCGACCUGAGAGGGUGAUCGGCCACACUGGAACUUGGGCACGGUCCAGACUCCUACGGGAGGCAGCAGGAGGGGAUUCUUCGGAAGGGGGGGAAGCCCGAACGAGCAAACACGGGGGAAGGAAGGAGGGUCUCCGGUCCGAAAACCUUUGUAUUAGGGAAGAACAAAUGUGUAAGUAACUAUGCACGUCUUGACGGUACCUAAUCAGAAAGCCACGGCUAACUACGUG
rnacentral:rRNA from 1 species